AGCGAACGCUGGCGGCAGGCCUAACACAUGCAAGUCGAACGGAUCCUUCGGGAUUAGUGGCGGACGGGUGAGUAACACGUGGGAACGUGCCCUUUGGUUCGGAACAACUCAGGGAAACUUGAGCCAAUACCGGAUGUGCCCUUCGGGGGAAAGAUUUAUCGCCAUCGGAGCGGCCCGAGUCUGAUUAGCUAGUUGGUGAGGUAAAGGCUCACCAAGGCGACGAUCAGUAGCUGGUCUGAGAGGAUGAUCAGCCACAUUGGGACUGAGACACGGCCCAAACUACUACGGGAGGCAGCAGUGGGGAAUCUUGCGCAAUGGGCGAAAGCCUGACGCAGCCAUGCCGCGUGAAUGAUGAAGGUCUUAGGAUUGUAGAAUUCUUUCACCGGGGACGAUAAUGACGGUACCCGGAGAAGAAGCCCCGGCUAACUUCGUGCCAGCCGCCGCAGUAAAAC
rnacentral:rRNA from 1 species